ensembl:lncRNA
GGGGGUCUAUAACAGCCAAUCACAGUUAUAGAGAGCAGAGGGGGGGUCUAUAACAGCCAAUCACAGUUAUAGAGAGCAGAGGGGGGUCUAUAACAGCCAAUCACAGUUAUAGAGAGCAUAGGGGGGUCUAUAACAGCCAAUCACAGUUAUAGAGAGCAGAGGGGGGUCUAUAACAGCCAAUCACAGUUAUAGAGAGCAGAGGGGGGUCUAUAACAGCCAAUCACAGUUAUAGAGAGGCCCUUUGAAACCUCAAUAUUCAAAGCAAGAAAUUCCAACUGUUUACAAAUAGUUUCAGACUUUGCCACACUUACAUGGAAUUUAGAUGUUACAUAUAUAGUGACACCC